rnacentral:lncRNA from 1 species
AGAGGUAUGUGGGUUGUGGAAGAGAAACUCUGAACUGUAGAGAAUCAGAAUGCUCAGUCAUCAAACCCACAAAACUGUAAGAGGAUUCCUUUAGAAUGACAACUCGUCAAAAUAGAAGUUCCUUUCUAGCAGAAAUUUGCUUAUGGGAAAACUGAGGCCCAGAGAAGCAAAGUGUAUUUCCUAGGGUCACACAGCCUAGGUCUCCAGACUGGAUGUCCUUCUUUCUGCAGGUCUGGAUGAGAAACUUGAAGGAGUCAGUCCACAAUAAUUUCUGGAGCAUCUACUUUGUACUACCUGCUGUUCUAGGCACUGUGGUUUCACUGGUAACAAGGACAGAACUACUGUCCCCAAGGAGUUAUGUUCUAAUUGGUGGAUGGGAGGACACAGAUUAGGAACACAGAAACAAAUGAGGUAACUUCUGUCACUGUCACCACCAUGACAACACCCUCUACUGGAAAGGUAUGAGUCAUCCCAGCUGAGGACAUCCUAAACCAGCCAGCCCCCAGCCAACCUAUCCGCUGACCACAGAUGCAUGAACAGGGUCUUGCUCUGUCUCCCAAGCUGGAGUGUAGCAGCAUGAUCAUGGCUCACUGUGCAGCCUCAACCUCCUGGGCUCAAGUAAUCCUCCUGCCUCAGCCUCCCAAGUAGCUGGGACUAUAGGUUGAGAGGUCAUUCUUACCAAGAGCAGCAAAGACCAACUCAUAGAAUCAGCAAUGAAUCUUCGUGUUUCAGCAGAGGGAAAAUAACCGCCUUUAGCUCACCUCGCAAUUGCUGUACCUUUUCAUGCCAAAAUUUCAUUGAAAGUGUCUGAGUGCACACAAACAGACUGAAGCACCGCCUAUGUGAGGUGCUUAGAGACAGGUUGCCUGAGUUUACACCUCGGCUUUGCCACUUACCAGCAGUGUGACCUUAGGCAAGUGCCUUUUCCUCUCUGAGGAAAUUGUCUCAGGGAUAAAUGAAUGAACCCUUUGGUGAUUGGUUGAACCCACAGUUCAUCUCAGCCUGGCAGUUUGCCAUGAUAAUGUGUCUUCCAAAUGUGCACAGAAAUAAUGUGGAUCCCAGCGCAAGUGAGACCACUGGGCAUUAAUAACCAAUACUUUGAGAAUCGUGUGAUGUUUAAUUUUAAUAUGUGCAUUUGGUCCUUCAUAACUGGCUCCUCUUCAGGGUGUGUACUUCAACUCAGACAAGGUGCACACAGGUCUCUUGAAGAUGCCAUUAUAGAUGUCUGCAAAUAAAUGACUGAAAUGUAAGACUAUCUGGUCUCUCUAAAGUAAAAGGAGGCAGUGCUUGGGG